UAAUUGAAGAGUUUGAUCAUGGCUCAGAUUGAACGCUGGCGGCAGGCCUAACACAUGCAAGUCGAGCGGUAACAGGAGAAAGCUUGCUUUCUUGCUGACGAGCGGCGGACGGGUGAGUAAUGUAUGGGGAUCUGCCCGAUAGAGGGGGAUAACUACUGGAAACGGUGGCUAAUACCGCAUGACGUCUACGGACCAAAGCAGGGGCUCUUCGGACCUUGCGCUAUCGGAUGAACCCAUAUGGGAUUAGCUAGUAGGUGAGGUAAUGGCUCACCUAGGC
rnacentral:rRNA from 1 species